CCGGACAGGUUCGUGAAUAUUUUAUUUGGACAAUUUUUCUUUAAUGUCUGUUUCUUUGUUUUGCAGCAUUGUCAGGGAUCCUUAUAUGGAAGAACUUUCAGAGCUACUCAUUGGCAAAGAAAAUAUUUCCAACCGGCAUCAGUGCUAUUAUAAGUUCUGCAAUGCUCUGCUUUUAUCUAUAUGUGCUUGUCUCCGGAGGAAACCCCCCACCUAAGAAAUUGAAGCCAUCUGCCAGUGUAGCCUGAUGAGAUAAUAAAAAAGUUAUGUACUUAGAAAGUGGGAGGUAUAGUUUCUUAGUUUUGUGAAUCAAAAUAAGGUUGUAAGCUAGUAAUUUAGCCAAAUCACUUAUGGAGGUAGGUCAACAAAGAGCUGCUGAUGUGAUUAUUGCAUUAGAUUUCUAAGCAUAUAGUGGAUUAUAUACUCUGAAAUUCGGUGCAAAAGCUUAUUUGCUUGUUACAGCUGCAUACAUAGUUUUGAUACUGACGUCUACACGGCACAUGUAUUUUGGUUCGACGAUGAAUUUUGGUUCCUUCAAAACAUCCAUAUAUUUUACCUUGAAUGUUCA